UAAGCAAUGACACCGUAUGAGCUUAGGCCACACUGACUUCUGUGUUGACAGGGUCAUCAUGGAAAUGUCAGCUAUUAUCUUAUCUGGUUGCAUUUAAACAAGAUUGUCACCAAUGGAAUGGAAUGAAUGAGGGAAGACAAAAAUGGUGGUGGAAGCUGAUUUUGCUAAGCUGUGGUCCAGCAGAAGCAACUACUUGUCACAGUCUCUUUCUGAAGACAAGGAAUGUUGUGAUGCCCUGUCACAUGGAAAACAAUGCCCUUUGCCAGAUGCAUAUUGAAGAAUUGGAGGAAGAAGGAACUCUAUUAUCUCAAAAUGAAGCAGACUUGUGGGGAGGGGGGAAUCCUCGUUAAUAUUGUAUAGAUAUUUUAUGAAACCCAGAAAAAAUUAAAUUACUUUGAAUAGAAAUGCUAACUAUGAGAGUUACAUGGAAGGCAGAAUCAAUAAAUAUAGAACUAUCCAUCUUGGAUGUUAAGAGUGUAAGAUCGCUAGAAAAUCAAUGCUGUAUAAGUCAUUCUCUUGCACAGGAAACAUGCUAGGUGAGAUAAAAAUAAAGGGCAAAAAUUGCAAUAAAGCAACCAAUGUUUGUAGAGUAGAUUAGGAGAAUGCAGAGUAUUUAAAAGGAGUAUCUCAAGAAGAUAAUAUCACUAAGUAGUAUAAUUUGUUAAAAUCUCUUUAAAGGCAUGACAUACAUACAUACAUACAUACAUACAUACAUACAUACAUACAUACAUACAUAUAAAGAUGAGGAUGAACACAUUGAUGGCACAUGUGUUGAAAAGAAGAAAAAUGAUGUUUUAUGCUUAUUUUAUGUAUUUUGUCAUCAACCCAUCAGCUGCUUCCAAUAGUGUUUUGAUGUGGUUUUGCUGACUCAUUUGAGGACUCAAGUGGGAGUAGACAUGAACUCUUUGUACUGCUGGUAUUUUAAAUUAUUUUCUCCAGGAGAGGUCCCAGAAGGAUAAAUUGGGUCAGAUUAUUUUUAUGUCCUGGUUGGUUUCACAUGUGAAAUUCUACUCUACUGUCUUAUAUUCAAUUCAAGAGCCCACUCCUCCCCCACUCCAAAAUAUGUGAGUGGGAAUGAUUUUUCUUUUUGCUGGAGAUACUACAGCGCUGUUUGCAUUUCCCUUACCUCUGUGUUCUACUGAUGCUACUUUCUGAAAUCUGCGGCACUGCCAGAACUGCAAGUGAAUCAAUAAGGAAUACAAGUCAUGGGGGAUGUUGGAUGUGAUGAUUUAUUUCUCGGCCCUCAAGAGCCAUUAGAGCUGUGCCAAUCUGUCCAUGAUGCAUUACAUCUGGUAUGGAUGGAAAUUAAAAUGUCAGUCUGGGUGUCAUCAGCAUAUUCAUGACAACGUGUCCCAAACCAUGGAUAAAUUUCUUCAGCAGAUCUACAUAGCUAUCAAAGAUGUGGGAGAUAAGAGGUUCCAUGUAGAAAUCUAGAAGAGAACUGCUACAGAUAAGAGAAACACUAUCCCUGCAACACCUUCUGAAAGGUGUAUUAGUGAGAUAGGGAGUCUAAUCAUCUUUUUAUUAAAACAGUGCUUUUUAUUUUAGGCCAGACAAUUAAUUCAGAAAGAUAAGAACAUAAUAGAAGUCCAAGAACCCAUCUUCUUCUGUGUUCCUCUGUGUCCAUCGAAGGCAGGGGUCCCCAACUCCUGGGCCAUGGCCUGUUUGAAAGCAGACUGUGUGAAGGAUGGGCAAAUGUAUGUGCAAAGCUCCACUCACACAAGCGAUGAGCCAUUACGCUUGUGCACAAAGCUCUGCUCGUGUGAACCAGCGGUGCUUAUGUGGAGGGUGCAUGUGAUCAUGCAUGAAGCUCCAUUCACGCAAAUAGAGCUUUACGCGCGAGCACUCUCCGCUCAUGCAAGUGGAAUUUCGCAUGUGAGCACAAGUAUCCUCUGCUCACGCAAGUGGAGUUUAACACAUGAGCACAAUCUCCCUCCAAUCAUCCGUGAAGCUCCAUUCACAUGAGCAGAGGGCGCUUGUGAUCACACUUGUGCGCCUGCCACUCACACACCAACCCCGCACCCUCAGCCAAGAUGGAAAAGUUGGGGACCACUGGUUUAAGGCAUAAGUUCAGUUGUUCCCAGUCAUGUGAGUAAUAUUCUAAGACAUACUGGUGUUAAUACCAAAAUCGUUAUUUGAUCCUCAUGGCUAAUAGUUGUUAAAAUAAUGUGUUUGUCUAAUAAUUUCACUUCAGUGUGUGUGUGUGUGUGUGUGUGUGUGUGUGUGUAAAAUCUUCCAAUUUGCUGAUAGGAAAUUCCGUAAUUUCAACUCUGCACUGCAUGAUGAAGUGCUUCCUUUAUUUGCCCCGGAUCUCACUUGGUUUGAAGGAUGAAAAACUCAUCACUUCUCUUGGCAAUUUGUUUCCACUGCUCUUAUAUUUAGGAAGAUUUUCCCUGACAUUUCAUUGGAAGCUUAUUUCCUGUAACUUUAAUCUAUUUUCCACCUUUUCCAAAGAACUCCUCUGCUAAUGAAAAUGGAAAAUUGUUGUCCGCAACAAUUUAGUUUAGUAUUUUACAGAUGCCUAUUUUUUUUAAUUAUUAAUACAAGCACUAAUUCAAGAUUCAAUCUUCUGCUAAACUGCUGAGGAAGAUGACAUAGGGAGCCUUGAUUGCCAUUUCUGAGAGGUUUGAUGCCUGAGUUAAUUUGCAAGCAUCCUAACCUUUCUUUUAAAUCGAGGAAGAGGACUGCAGUUGAAUACUCAAGGAAAAACAUUGGUCUUCAGACAUUAUGCGGGAAGAGUAUAUUAUAUACACUACUAAUAUACAUUUUGUCACUGUGUAUUGCAGAAAUUAACGGGAGGGGUUAUUAAUUUUCACUUCUGGGAGAUUUGAUGCCUGAGGUAAUUUGUAAGCAUACCAUUCUUUCUUUUAAAUGAAGAGGUUUUAUAGAGGGGAUAAAUGAGUCAGUCCAGAUGUCUAGACCUGACUUUGUCCAUGGAAAGGGAAGGGCCUUCUAGGAAGGGCAAGUUCUCUUUUGCAUGUCUUGAAAGACUUUUCCGUAAAUAGCAUCAUGCUUGCAGAAAGGAAAUACUCUGAUUUUAUUGUGCACCCCAGCUGCUUGAGGCAUGCUAUGCUUUGUGCAAAAGUUAUUUGUAAAGUGCUCUGACCUUGAGAUUAUGUAAAUUUAUAAUACAUACAUACAUACAAGUUUAUGCAUAUACUGUAUGUUCUGUACCGUGAAAAGGCUCAUUGUCUAACUUGCCAGACUUCAAGGCAGGAUUCAAACUUCUAUGAGACAUUCCAGAUGCAAUGGCUACUGAAUGAUUUCAGCUUAAUUGAUAAAUCCAUAAAAUAAAAGCUGGCCAAGCACCACAUGCUGUUUGCCAGCUUAUGACCCCAGAAGUAAAUAAUGAAUUUACAGUACUCCAUAGGAAAUUCUUUGGUUUUCAACAUGUAUAAAACUGGAUACCACUUCCAUGCAUUUUAGGAAAAACGAAAGUUGCUAUUUAAAUAUGAAUUGUUAAAAAUAAAAAUCCAAAGUAAAUAUUAUUCCUAAUGGCAAAUGCAUAUGAUGAAUGCCCUCAGUAUUGUAGGAAAACAGAUCUAAAGAGAAAGAGACUAAUACCUUCAAAAGUUGGUCAUCGUCUGCCAAGUAAACUAUUCUGACUUAUUGAAAUGCGGAAAAAUUCAGCACACAAUUUUUAAACCACAGGUGGUCCCUAACCAACAAAAGGGCUGGCUUUUGAUGCGAUAAUUGUUUUUAUCUUUUAAUUCAGAAAUUAGGAUGGGGACAGGGAUAGGAGAUAUUUGAGAGAUAAACCACCUCUAUUCUUAUCCUUAAAGUGUCCAAGAACUCCAAAAUUGCCCACAAGUCAUAUUAUGGAAAUUUGCAAUUAUGUCACCACAUUAUCUUUACAAAGGAUGAGAGUGGAAGCCUUCUUUUUCCAUAUGUAUUCUUAACUCCCACUCAAAAGAAAGGCAUAACAUUAUUGACCCCCACACUUUUCAGUUAUACUCUUACAUCAGGGGUCCCCAACCCCUGAUCUGCGGCCCACUACCAGGCUGUAGCCUAUUUGCAUCUAGGCCAUGCAAGUCGAGCUGCACAUGUACACCAGCCCGUCGCUCAUGCAAGUUAAGCUCUCCCUGCCCCUCCACCAGGCUGCCAAGUCACAAAGGUCGGGGACCGCUGUCUUCCAUUAAUUUCUUCCCCCACCCCCACCCCCAUGCAAGCCUCUAGUAAAUCUCUAGUCAAAUUGGUGCCUCUGACCCUUAAACAUUGCCCUUCCCUCUGCUGAUGAAGAUGUCCUUUUUCUCAUUGAGAAUGAAAAAGAAACUUGGAGAACAGGCUGCUUGGGCAAAUUAAAGUUUUAUUGUACCGUGAUAAGACUGUUUCAUGGACAUGUUUCAAGGAGUUGGGUCUAUCAAUCCCAAAAAUUCAUUGCUUCGUUGGUGGCAGUUUCCCUCCUGUGGGUGAUGGCAGAAUUUGUGUUGACAGUACAAGAUGUAAAACUGACAUCUGCUACUUUAGAUACAACAGUCGUGUCCAUUAUUUCAGGCGGGAUGUCCAGAAAGAUACCUGGUUUGUUGCAUACAAAGUCUUCUGAAUCUGGUUAUAUUAACUUGAGGUUUCACUGUACUUCUCUCAAAAGCUAAGAAUAUCUCACAGCAUCAAUUUUACUAGGCCAGUUCGUUAACUGUUAAGUCACUGUAUCUUUGAAGCAUACUAAAAAGUCUUUUCAUGCUGCUCUGCCUGAUGUGAUCUCCUUCUAGAGAUUAAAACACAGUAUUGUAAUAUUAAGUUUAUGGUAAGAUUUCCUUUUGGGAAGAAUUAUAUAUGGUAUUUUUGCAGAUACAUUUAUAUUUAGCCACAGUAUUUAUUCAGUAUUCUAUUUAAUAAAGGCUUUGAACUUUUUCAGACUACAGAACAAUUCACUAACUUUUAAAGACUUAAAAGCAUAGGCUAAGAUUUGAUGAUUGAAAAAAGCUAAAAUUCAAUCAUUAGUGGGCAGUUUAUGAAAAUAUUAAAAUUAAGGCCAUAGUUGAGUUUUUAUUUUUAAAGUUCUAAUAUAAUUUAAAGUGUAAAUAAAUUCUAGUCAAUACUGUAUAAAUACCAUUGAAUCAAAAUAAUAUAAUGUAUUACAUAUUUGUGUGUGUUUGUAGAGGAUGGAUGGAUGGAUGGAUGGAUGGAUGGAUGACUAGGAUGAAGCUGCCAUGACCAUCCAAUCUUUUAAUCAUCCUGGAUCCUGAUUUGACAGUUUCUGUCUAGGUCAGGGGUGUCAAACUCACAUCAUCACAGUGGUAUCAUAUGACAUAUCAGGACUUUUUUUUCCCCUUCGCUAAACUGGGUAUGGGCUGGCCAAGCCCAUGCCCAACGCGUGACACAUCCGGCCCCCGGGCCGCAAGUGUGCUUGUAGUGUAAUUAGUAAAAUUUUGCUGCCAUUUAAAUUUGUUUGAACUCUGUGUAUCCCAAAAGAACAUGACGUGCCUCAGUGAUCAUUUGAAAGUGAUUUUAGUGUGUUCCUAAUUAUUUCCCAGCUGUUCGCCAGGGCUGUGUGUAUCAUCUACUCCAGCUGCGCAUAUCUGGAAAAGCCAGGUAGAAAGCAAUGGGUGCUACAAGAUCUGUAUGCCCCAAAAACCUUUGCAAGCAUGACUAUAAACUGAAGCUGGAAGUGUGUAUAAUAGACUUGAAUUAUUCUUUGGGGGAAAAACCUCUAUAUUAUCUAUAUAUCUAUAUUCUCCCUUUAGGAAAUGGAAAGAUGAAUCUUCAAAUUGUAUUUCAGCCCUGCCAAUCACUUUGUAUAGCAAAAGACUGCAUGUAUGAGUGAGGUCAUUGAGAUGAAUUGGGAAUAUUUUUUGGAAUAAUAUUAAAUCUAGAGGAUUUGAAUUUACUUUUUUCUGGGCUCUUGCCUUCCUGUUUAGGGAAAUUGAUUGUAAUGUGGUGUGUGAAACUUCAUAAGGUCUCCUAUUACAUUUUUUCCACAGGAUAUUAUUUAAUUUUUUUCCCAAAGUUGUGUCCAUGAAAAGAAAAUAAUUUGCAUUAUGCUGACAUUUUAAGGAUGGGGAUAUCAGCUGACUAAUACUAUUAUUAUUAUUAUUAUUAUUAUUAUUUAUUAAAUUUUUAUACCGCCCUUCUCCCGAAGGACUCAGGGCGGUGUACAGCUGGAGAUAAAAUGCAAAAUAUGUACAAUUAAAACAAAUUAAAACAUAGCAAAAUUACAAAAAAGGCUAAUAAUUAAAAUUAAAUUUAAAAUAUUUAAGAAUAUUAAUAAAACCCCAAUUUAAAAUCAAACUAUUAUGCCAGUCCCGCUUGAAUAAAUAAGUAUGUUUUUAGCUCACGACGGAAGGUCCGAAGAUCAGGCACUUGACGUAGGCCGGGAGGAGUUCAUUCCAGAGCGUCGAUGCUCCCACAGAGAAGGCCCUACCCCUGGGGGCCGCCAGCCGACACUGUUUGGCGGACGGCACCCUGAGGAGACCCUCUCUAUGAGAGCAUACGGGUCGGUGGGAGGCAUAGGGUAACAGCAGGCGGUCUCGUAAGUACCCGGGUCCUAAGCCAUGGAGCGCUUUAAAGGUGGUAACCAAAAUCUUGAAGCGCACCCGAAAGACCACAGGAAGCCAGUGCAGACUACGGAACAGUGGUGUUACGUGGGAGCCACGAGCGGCUCCCAUUACUACUCACGCAGCCGCAUUCUGGACUAACUGCAGCCUCCGGGUGCACCUCAAGGGCAGCCCCAUGUAGAGAGCAUUGCAGUAAUCCAACCGAGACGUAACCAGAACGUGAGUGACUGUGCAAAAGGCAUCCCGGUCAAGGAAGGGACGCAACUGGCGGACCAAGCGGACUUGGUAAAAGGCCCUCCUGGAGACGGCCGCCAGAUGUUCAUCAAAGGACAGCCGUCCAUCCAGGAGGAUGCCCAAGUUGCGAACCACCUCCUUUGGGGCCACUAACUCGCCCCCAACAGUCAGCUGCGGAUGCAGCUGACUGUACCAGGGUGCCGGCAUCCACAGCCACUCCGUCUUGGAGGGAUUGAGCUUGAGUCUGUUUCUCCCCAUCCAGACCCGUACAGCUUCCAGGCACCGGGACAGCACUUUGACCGCUUCGUUGGGGUGGUCCGGGGUGGAAAAGUACAGCUGAGUAUCAUCAGCGUACAGAUGAUAACUCACCCCGAAACCACUGAUGACCUCACCCAGCGGCUUCAUAUAGAUGUUGAACAGGGUAGGCGAGAGAAUCGACCCCUGAGGCACCCCACACGUGAGGCGCCUCGAGGACGACCUCUGCCCCCCUGUCAACACCGUCUGCGACCGGUCAGAGAGAUAGGAGGAGAACCACCGAUACACGGUGCCCCCCACUCCCAAUCCCUCCAACCGGCGCAGCAGGAUACCAUGGUCGAUGGUAUCAAAAGCCGCUGAGAGGUCUAAUAGGACAAGGCAGAGGAGCAACCCCUGUCCCUGGCCCUCCAGAGGUCAUCCACCAACGCGACCAAAGCCGUCUCCGUGCUGUAACCG